GGUAGUGCCAGUGAGUGCGACUGGAAGUGAGUGCGAGUGCGAGUGAGUGCCAGUGAGUGUGAGUGGAGGUGAGUGAGAGUGCGAGUGAGUGCCAGUGAGUGUGAGUGCAAGUGAGUGCGAGUGCGAGUGAGUGCCACUGAGUGUGAGUGCAGGUGAGUGCGAGUGAGUGCCAGUGAGUGUGAGUGGAGGUGAGUGCGAGUGCGAGUGAGUGCCACUGAGUGUGAGUGCAGGUGAGUGCGAGUGAGUGCCAG